AGAAAAAGUCAUUCAGAAGAAUCGGGUGAUAUACGAGCUAAGAAAUUCCAAUGCAAUAGAAUUUCAUUAGCCAUACAACGUGGGAAUGCAGCAAGCAUUCUUGGAACACACCCUACAAAUGAAAAACUUACAGAAAUUUUUGAUUUGUAAAACAAUGUCUCAUGUACACUUAAAAUUUUCAAAAAUCAAUAAUAAAAA